UACUAGUCAUGCUGGUGUAGUCUAUAGCUGAGCUGGUUAAACUGUAGUAGGGUCCACAUAGAUACUAGUCACGCUGGUGUAGUCUAUAGCUGAGCUGGUUAAACUGUAGUAGGGGUCCACAUAGAUACUAGUCAUGCGGGUGUAGUCUAUAGCUGAGCUGGUUAAACUGUAGUAGGGUCCACAUAGAUACUAGUCAUGCUGGUGUAGUUUAUAGCUGAGCUGGUUAAACUGUAGUAGGGUCCACAUAGAUACUAGUCAUGCUGGUGUAGUCUAUAGCUGAGCUGGUUAAACUGUAGUAGGGUCCACAUAGAUACUAGUCAUGCUGGUGUAGUCUAUAGCUGAGCUGGUUAAACUGUAGUAGGGUCCACAUAGAUACUAGUCAUGCUGGUGUAGUCUAAAGCUGAGCUGGUUAAACUGUAGUAGGGUCCACAUAGAUACUAGUCAUGCUGGUGUCGUCUAUAGCUGAGCUGGUUAAACUGUAGUAG
rnacentral:lncRNA from 1 species